rnacentral:tRNA from 1 species
UAGCUCAGUUGGUAGAGUGCUUGUCUUGCAUACACAAGGCCCUGGGUUCAAUCCCCAG